UACGUAGGGGGCAAGCGUUGUCCGGAUUUAUUGGGCGUAAAGAGCGUGUAGGCGGCCAAGCAGGUCCGCUGUGAAAACUCGAGGCUCAACCUCGAGACGUCGGUGGAAACCGUUUGGCUAGAGUCCGGAAGAGGAGAGUGGAAUUCCCGGUGUAGCAGUGAAAUGCGUAGAGAUCGGGAGGAACACCAGUGGCGAAGGCGGCCUUCUGGACCAAUACUGACGCUCAUGCACGAAAGCGUGGGGAGCAAACAGG
rnacentral:rRNA from 1 species